UGGGGAAUAUUGCACAAUGGGCGCAAGCCUGAUGCAGCGACGCCGCGUGGGGGAUGACGGCCUUCGGGUUGUAAACCUCUUUCACCAGGGACGAAGCGCAAGUGACGGUACCUGGAGAAGAAGCACCGGCCAACUACGUGCCAGCAGCCGCGGUAAUACGUAGGGUGCGAGCGUUAAUCGGAAUUACUGGGCGUAAAGCGUGCGUAGGUGGUUUGUUAAGUCAGGUGUGAAAUCCUCGGGCUCAACCCGGGAACUGCGCUUGAUACUGGCAGACUCGAGUGUGGUAGAGGAUAGUGGAAUUCCCGGUGUAGCGGUGAAAUGCGUAGAUAUCGGGAGGAACAUCAGUGGCGAAGGCGGCUAUCUGGACCAACACUGACACUGAGGUACGAAAGCGUGGGUAGCAAACAGGAUUAGAUACCCUGGUAGUCCACGCCCUAAACGAUGGGUACUAGACGUCGGGAAGCUUGUCUUCUUGGUGUCGCAGCUAACGCAAUAAGUACCCCGCCUGGGGAGUACGGUCGCAAGAUUA
rnacentral:rRNA from 1 species